UUACGGCCACAUCGUGUUGAAAUACCAGUUCCCGUACGAUCACUGAAGUUAAGCAACGUCCACCAUGGUCUGUACCUAGAUAGGUGACCGCUUGAGAAUACCGGGUGUUGUAAG